rnacentral:rRNA from 1 species
CAGCCGCCGCGGUAAAACGUAGGGUGCAAGCGUUAAUCGGAAUUACUGGGCGUAAAGCGUGCGCAGGCGGUUAUAUAAGACAGAUGUGAAAUCCCCGGGCUCAACCUGGGAACUGCAUUUGUGACUGUAUAGCUAGAGUACGGCAGAGGGGGAUGGAAUUCCGCGUGUAGCAGUGAAAUGCGUAGAUAUGCGGAGGAACACCGAUGGCGAAGGCAAUCCCCUGGGCCUGUACUGACGCUCAUGCACGAAAGCGUGGGGAGCAAACAGGAUUAGAUACCCGCGUAGUCCCUGUCUCUUAUAU